rnacentral:rRNA from 1 species
CUCGAAGAGUAGGGCGGGACACGUGGUAUCCUGUCUGAAUAUGGGGGGACCAUCCUCCAAGGCUAAAUACUCCUGACUGACCGAUAGUGAACCAGUACCGUGAGGGAAAGGCGAAAAGAACCCCGGCGAGGGGAGUGAAAAAGAACCUGAAACCGUGUACGUACAAGCAGUGGGAGCACCUUCGGGUGUGACUGCGUACCUUUUGUAUAAUGGGUCAGCGACUUAUAUUCUGUAGCAAGGUUAACCGUAUAGGGGAGCCGCAGGGAAACCGAGUCUUAACUGGGCGUUAAGUUGCAGGGUAUAGACCCGAAACCCGGUGAUCUAGCCAUGGGCAGGUUGAAGGUUGGGUAACACUAACUGGAGGACCGAACCGACUAAUGUUGAAAAAUUAGCGGAUGACUUGUGGCUGGGGGUGAAAGGCCAAUCAAACCGGGAGAUAGCUGGUUCUCCCCGAAAGCUAUUUAGGUAGCGCCUCGUGAACUCAUCUUCGGGGGUAGAGCACUGUUUCGGCUAGGGGGUCAUCCCGACUUACCAACCCGAUGCAAACUACGAAUACCGAAGAAUGUUAUCACGGGAGACACACGGCGGGUGCUAACGUCCGUCGUGAAGAGGGAAACAACCCAGACCGCCAGCUAAGGUCCCAAAGUCAUGGUUAAGUGGGAAACGAUGUGGGAAGGCACAGACAGCCAGGAUGUUGGCUUAGAAGCAGCCAUCAUUUAAAGAAAGCGUAAUAGCUCACUGGUCGAGUCGGCCUGCGCGGAAGAUGUAACGGGGCUAAACCAUGCACCGAAGCUGCGGCAGCGACACUAUGUGUUGUUGGGUAGGGGAGCGUUCUGUAAGCCUGCGAAGGUGUGCUGUGAGGCAUGCUGGAGGUAUCAGAAGUGCGAAUGCUGACAUAAGUAACGAUAAAGCGGGUGAAAAGCCCGCUCGCCGGAAGACCAAGGGUUCCUGUCCAACGUUAAUCGGGGCAGGGUGAGUCGACCCCUAAGGCGAGGCCGAAAGGCGUAGUCGAUGGGAAACAGGUUAAUAUUCCUGUACUUGGUGUUACUGCGAAGGGGGGACGGAGAAGGCUAUGUUAGCCGGGCGACGGUUGUCCCGGUUUAAGCAUGUAGGCUGGUUAUCCAGGCAAAUCCGGAUAAUCAAGGCUGAGGUGUGAUGACGAGGCACUACGGUGCUGAAGUAACAAAUGCCCUGCUUCCAGGAAAAGCCUCUAAGCAUCAGGUAACAUCAAAUCGUACCCCAAACCGACACAGGUGGUCAGGUAGAGAAUACCAAGGCGCUUGAGAGAACUCGGGUGAAGGAACUAGGCAAAAUGGUGCCGUAACUUCGGGAGAAGGCACGCUGGUGUGUAGGUGAAGUCCCUGCGGAUGGAGCUGAGACCAGUCGAAGAUACCAGCUGGCUGCAACUGUUUAUUAAAAACACAGCACUGUGCAAACACGAAAGUGGACGUAUACGGUGUGACGCCUGCCCGGUGCCGGAAGGUUAAUUGAUGGGGUUAUCCGUAAGGAGAAGCUCUUGAUCGAAGCCCCGGUAAACGGCGGCCGUAACUAUAACGGUCCUAAGGUAGCGAAAUUCCUUGUCGGGUAAGUUCCGACCUGCACGAAUGGCGUAAUGAUGGCCAGGCUGUCUCCACCCGAGACUCAGUGAAAUUGAACUCGCUGUGAAGAUGCAGUGUACCCGCGGCAAGACGGAAAGACCCCGUGAACCUUUACUAUAGCUUGACACUGAACAUUGAGCCUUGAUGUGUAGGAUAGGUGGGAGGCUUUGAAGCGUGGACGCCAGUCUGCGUGGAGCCAACCUUGAAAUACCACCCUUUAAUGUUUGAUGUUCUAACGUUGGCCCCUGACCGGGGUUGCGGACAGUGUCUGGUGGGUAGUUUGACUGGGGCGGUCUCCUCCCAAAGCGUAACGGAGGAGCACGAAGGUUAGCUAAUCCUGGUCGGACAUCAGGAGGUUAGUGCAAUGGCAUAAGCUAGCUUGACUGCGAGCGUGACGGCGCGAGCAGGUGCGAAAGCAGGUCAUAGUGAUCCGGUGGUUCUGAAUGGAAGGGCCAUCGCUCAACGGAUAAAAGGUACUCCGGGGAUAACAGGCUGAUACCGCCCAAGAGUUCAUAUCGACGGCGGUGUUUGGCACCUCGAUGUCGGCUCAUCACAUCCUGGGGCUGAAGUAGGUCCCAAGGGUAUGGCUGUUCGCCAUUUAAAGUGGUACGCGAGCUGGGUUUAGAACGUCGUGAGACAGUUCGGUCCCUAUCUGCCGUGGGCGCUGGAGAAUUGAGGGGGGCUGCUCCUAGUACGAGAGGACCGGAGUGGACGCAUCACUGGUGUUCGGGUUGUCAUGCCAAUGGCACUGCCCGGUAGCUAAAUGCGGAAGAGAUAAGUGCUGAAAGCAUCUAAGCACGAAACUUGCCCCGAGAUGAGUUCUCCCUGAGACUUUAAGUCUCCUGAAGGAACGUUGAAGACGACGACGUUGAUAGGCCGGGUGUGUAAGCGCAGCGAUGCGUUGAGCUAACCGGUACUAAUGAACCGUGAGGCUUAACCUU